GGCUGGUCCGAGUACAUUGGUGUUUAGAACUAAUUCAUCACAACCAGUUACAGAUUUUCUUGUUUCUUCUCCACUCCCAUUGCUUCACUUGACUAACCUUAA
ensembl:misc_RNA Y_RNA Y RNA